UACGUAGGGUGCGAGCGUUAAUCGGAAUUACUGGGCGUAAAGCGUGCGCAGGCGGUUUUGUAAGCCAGAUGUGAAAUCCCCGGGCUUAACCUGGGAACUGCAUUUGUGACUGCAUCGCUGGAGUGCGGCAGAGGGGGAUGGAAUUCCGCGUGUAGCAGUGAAAUGCGUAGAUAUGCGGAGGAACACCAGUGGCGAAGGCGGCUACCUGGACCAGCACUGACACUGAAGCACGAAAGCGUGGGGAGCAAACAGG
rnacentral:rRNA from 1 species